ensembl:lncRNA
CUUUCAAUAAAGGAUAAAUGAAUACUAACACAGCAACCCUUCAUGGAUCACAGUCUUGUCAUGGUGAAGGUGCUUGUGAAACUCAAUGAAGCUAUGAGCCAUGCCAAACAGGACCAUCCAAACUGGGUGGAUAUUUUGAAGAGUUCUGAUAAAAUAUGGUCCCCUGGAGGAGGGAAUAGCAAACCACUCCAGUAAUCUUGCUGUGAGAACCCCAUGAACAGUAUGAAAAGGCCAAACGAUAUGACUCUGGUAGAUGAGCUCCCCAGGUCAGAAGGUGUUGAAUAUGUGUGUUUUAUUGCAGUGUGUUUCUGGUGGUGAAAAUAAAGUAAAAUGAAUGAAUCUGGUGGUGAAAGUAAAGUUUGAUAUUGUAAAGGACAAUAUUGCACAGGAACCUGGAAUGUUAGCUCUAUGACUCAAGGAAAAUUGGAAGUGGUCAAGUAGGAGAUGCCAAGAAUGAACAUUAACAUUCUAGGAAUCCAAAAUGGAUCCAACCAAAUCCAACCAAAAUGGAUGGGAGUGGGCAAAUUUAAUUCAGAUAACCACUAUAUCUACUACUGUAUGCAAGAAUCCUUUAAGAAAGGGUUAGCCCUCAUAGUCAGAAAAAGAGUCUGAAAUGCAGUACUUGGGUACAAUCUCAAAAACACCAGAAAUGAUCUCAGUUUGUUUCAAAGGAAAACCAUUCAACAUCACUAUGUCGAGUCUUUGCCCCAAUCACUAAUCCUAAAGGAAAUCAGUCCUGAAUAUUCUUUGGAAGGACUGAUGCUGAAUCUGAAGCUCCAAUCCUUAGGCCACCUGGUGCGAACAGCCCACUCGUUGGAAAAGACCCCGAUGAUGGGAAAGACUGAACAGAGGAGAAGGAGCAGCAGAGGAUGAGAUGGUUAGAUAGCAUCACCAAAUCAAUGGACAUGAAUUUGAGCCAACUCCGGGAGACAGAGAAGUGCAGGAAAGCCUGGCAUGCUGCAGUCCAUUGGGUUGCAAAGGGUCAGACCCAACUUAAUGACUCAACAAGAACAGCAAUACAGUACCAUCAAUAUUAUUUCACAGAAAGUAAAAACGGGGUAUGGAUAGCUGUCGUUUUGUGGAUGUAGAAUGUAUUUUAAGGAAAUCUACUGAGGAAAUGCUGAAGCUCCAAUACUUUGGCCACCGGAUGCAUAGAGCUGAGUCAUAGGACAAGACCCUGAUGCUGGAAAAGAUUGGGGGCAGGAGGAGAAGGAGGCAACAGAGGAUCAGAUGGUCAGAUGACAUCACUGACACAAUGGACAUGAGUUUGAACAAACCCCAGGAGAUACUGAAGGACUGGGAAGCCUGGCGUGCUACAGUCCAUGGAGUUGCUAAGAGUUGUACACGACUUAGCAACUGUACAACAACUAUUAAAAAAAAA